GAUGAACGCUGGCGGCGUGCCUAAUACAUGCAAGUCGAGCGAACGGACGAGAAGCUUGCUUCUCUGAUGUUAGCGGCGGACGGGUGAGUAACACGUGGAUAACCUACCUAUAAGACAGGGAUAACUUCGGGAAACCGGAGCUAAUACCGGAUAAUAUUUUGAACCGCAUGGUUCAAAAGUGAAAGACGGUCUUGCGGUCACUUAUUGAUGGAUCCGCGCUGCAUUAGCUAGUUGGUAAGGUAACGGCUUACCAAGGCAACGAUGCAUAGCCGACCUGAGAGGGUGAUCGGCCACACUGGAACUGAGACACGGUCCAGACUCCUACGGGAGGCAGCAGUAGGGAAUCUUCCGCAAUGGGCGAAAGCCUGACGGAGCAACGCCGCGUGAGGGAUGAAGGUCUUCGGAUCGUAAAACUCUGUUAUUAGGGAAGAACAUAUGUGUAAGUAACUGUGCACAUCUUGACGGUACCUAAUCAGAAAGCCACGGCUAACUACGUG
rnacentral:rRNA from 1 species